rnacentral:rRNA from 1 species
GACGAACGCUGGCGGCGUGCUUAACACAUGCAAGUCGAACGGAAAGGCCCUGCUUUUGUGGGGUGCUCGAGUGGCGAACGGGGGAGUAACACGUGAGUAACCUGCCCUUGACUUUGGGAUAACUUCAGGAAACUGGGGCUAAUACCGGAUAGGAGCUCCUGCUGCAUGGUGGGGGGUGGAAAGUUUCGGCGGUUGGGGAUGGACGGGCGGCUUAUCAGCUUGUUGGUGGGGUAGUGGCUUGCCAAGGGUUUGACGGGUAGCCGGCCUGAGAGGGUGACCGGCGACAUUGGGACUGAGAUACGGCCCAGACUGCUACGGGAGGCAGCAGUGGGGAAUAUUGCACAAUGGGCGGAAGCCUGAUGCAGCAACGCCGCGUGCGGGAUGACGGCCUUCGGGUUGUAAACCGCUUUCGCCUGUGACGAAGCGGGAGUGACGGUAAUGGGUAAAGAAGCACCGGCUAACUACGUG